rnacentral:tRNA from 1 species
GGGGAGAGGUAGUGGCUCAGUGGUAGCGCAUCUGCUUUGCAUGUAAAAGGUCCUAGGUUAAAUCUCUGGCACCCCG